rnacentral:lncRNA from 1 species
CCUCAACUGAAAAGGCAAGCGCUCCCCGGCGCCCGCCUUAUAUACCCGCCCCGCCGCCGGACUCGUUGCGCUCCGCUCUGCGCAUGGAUAUACACCGCAUGCCACUGGCGAAAAAGCACGAAUCCCCCCGGAAUGAGCCCCCUUUCCCAAGGUUGUGCCCAGGAACAGCUGCCUGUGUUUUCCUGGGAUCCACCAACACAAGCAAGCAUGGACAUGGACUAGUGCAUGGACAGGACAAGAUGCAGAAUUGUCUUGGCUAAUUUCCUGGGCAAACAGACUGUGCAUCUUUAUGCAGAAGGAAACAGAGGGAAGUGAGAACUGUGAAGGACUGCUGCCUCAGAGCUGCUGUUACCAUAGAGCUGCUAACGAGGAAAAAACUGCAGCAUGGAUUUCUUGUGCUGUUGAAGCCAACUGGUCUGUUAUGGCUCCUGUGAUAAGUGCAUCCAGUGGAAAGUGGAGAGGCAUCCACCAAAUUCAGACAGUGCUUCUAAUAAAUAUAUUUUUGCUCUUCACUUUUAAAACCAAUAUAAUUCUUUGGCAUAUCUCUGGAUUCUGCAGAGAAUUCUGAUUCUCUGUGGCUCAGUUUGAACUGAAACAGUAAGGUAAGUAAUUUAAUGCCUGAUCUUCAACCCACAGAUCAGCACUUUUCUCUUCAUGGCAGAAGAGAAAAGAAUCUCUGUCAAGUUUCAAAUCCCUGUUACUCCAUAUUAGUAGGAGUUACUUCUUUGGAGCUUAUGGUUGAGUCUUCACUGAGUAGCAGACUGAAACCAGUGCAGGAACAGCAGUACUACCAGUACUGCAGAAAGAUACCUUACCCAAUU